UUUAGCAUUUAAUAGGCACAUAAUCAACAUUUACUGUUAAAACAAAAUUAAAAUUAGGCGCUGUCUCUAUCUCUAUUUGUGAUCGGCCCUAACUGCACUGGCAAUCUUUCCCGUUUUUUCGUUUUCUGUUUUCCAUUUGCAUGUGCCUUGGCGUACCUAGGUCUCUGGCUCCUUUACAAAAGAAAUCCGAAGUGCUCCGCAAGCACUGACAGCGAAAGCGAAAGACUCUCAAACGGACAAGAUGUCAGCCACCUCUUCGCGCCUCUUAGUCCCACCCACUCAGGGCGGAGGUCUGCGCCCUGUGACCCUCCCUUCCUGGCUCCGCCUCCUGCCGCAGUGCCUGACGGGAGGCGGAGCGGCGAACGAGGCCGUCGGCCAUUUUGUGUCUGCUUCCUGUGGGACGCGGUCGUAGCCGUUGGGUCGGGAAAGUGAGGGAUUUUCGCUUCGUUUCUCCUGCUUCUUUUCUCCUCCCUUUUACUUUGUCGGUAGAACACAGUUAUGGGUCGCAAGAAGAAGAAGCAGCUGAAGCCGUGGUGCUGGUAUUGUAAUAGAGAUUUUGAUGAUGAGAAGAUCCUUAUACAGCACCAAAAAGCAAAGCAUUUUAAAUGCCAUAUAUGUCACAAGAAAUUGUAUACAGGACCUGGCUUAGCUAUUCAUUGCAUGCAGGUACAUAAAGAAACAAUAGAUGCCGUACCAAAUGCAAUACCUGGAAGAACAGACAUAGAAUUGGAAAUAUACGGUAUGGAAGGUAUUCCAGAAAAAGACAUGGAUGAAAGACGACGACUUCUUGAGCAGAAAACACAAGAAAGUCAAAAAAAGAAACAACAAGAUGAUUCUGAUGAAUAUGAUGAUGAUGACUCUGCAGCCUCAACUUCAUUUCAGCCACAGCCUGUUCAACCUCAACAAGGUUAUAUUCCCCCAAUGGCACAGCCAGGACUGCCACCAGUAGCAGGAGCACCAGGAAUGCCUCCAGGCAUACCUCCAUUAAUGCCAGGUGUUCCUCCUCUGAUGCCAGGAAUGCCACCAGUUAUGCCAGGCAUGCCACCUGGAUUGCAUCAUCAGAGAAAAUACACCCAGUCAUUUUGCGGUGAAAACAUAAUGAUGCCAAUGGGUGGAAUGAUGCCACCUGGACCAGGAAUACCACCUCUGAUGCCUGGAAUGCCACCAGGUAUGCCCCCACCUGUUCCACGUCCUGGAAUUCCUCCAAUGACCCAAGCACAGGCUGUUUCAGCGCCAGGUAUUCUUAAUAGACCACCUGCACCAACAGCAACUGUACCUGCUCCACAGCCUCCAGUUACUAAGCCUCUUUUCCCCAGUGCUGGGCAGAUGGGGACACCUGUCACAAGCUCAAGUACAGCUUCAUCCAAUUCAGAAAGUCUGUCUGCAUCUUCUAAAGCUCUGUUUCCUAGCACAGCACAAGCUCAGGCAGCUGUCCAAGGACCUGUUGGUACAGAUUUCAAACCCUUAAAUAGUACCCCUGCAACAACUACAGAACCCCCAAAGCCUACAUUCCCUGCUUAUACACAGUCUACAGCUUCAACCACUAGUACAACAAAUAGUACUGCAGCUAAACCAGCAGCUUCAAUAACAAGUAAGCCUGCUACACUCACAACAACUAGUGCAACCAGUAAGUUGAUCCAUCCAGAUGAGGAUAUAUCCCUGGAAGAGAGAAGGGCACAGUUACCUAAAUAUCAACGUAAUCUUCCUCGGCCAGGACAGGCCCCCAUCGGUAAUCCACCAGUUGGACCAAUUGGAGGUAUGAUGCCACCGCAGCCAGGCAUCCCACAGCAACAAGGAAUGAGACCCCCAAUGCCACCUCAUGGUCAGUAUGGUGGUCAUCAUCAAGGCAUGCCAGGAUACCUUCCUGGUGCUAUGCCCCCGUAUGGGCAGGGACCGCCCAUGGUGCCCCCUUACCAGGGUGGGCCUCCUCGACCUCCGAUGGGAAUGAGACCUCCUGUAAUGUCGCAAGGUGGCCGUUACUGAUCUUACUUCAUCCAGUCUAAUAGGUUUGGAGAUUAAACCUUUUCUCAACUUGUGCUGUUUAUAUAGCCAAGCUUCCGUCAAUAAGGCUUCAUUGUGACUUUAACAAACAUUAUCUUCCCACAUACCAGGAACUAUUGGACAUUUAUUUUACAUGGGAAAAAUUAUUUGGAAUAAUAAAGCAGGAACUUUUCCUGAAGUUGCAAUUUAUACUGUAUGGCUUCUUUUUCAUGUUUCAUCUAGGUUUUUAGAAGUGAAGUAUAGUAAAUUUGGUUCGUUAAAUUGUGAAGGCGCUGGAAUUACAUGAACAUACCACCUUAAUAAAGCCCUGCCAUAGGACAGGCUGAGGCUGAGUCUCAGUGUUGCCCUGUUCAGUCUGAGCAGAAUUUCAGCAUUUGCUACUUACUGGUAGAGAAGAAAAAUCCCACAGCCCUGCCAGUACAGGUUAGUUUAAUCUGUAAGUACCUGAUGUUCCUAUUUUUUUCAAACAUAUCCAUAUAACUCACACAAGGAAGAAAGCUGUGCGAUUACUUAAAUGUGAGUAUAACUAAUAAUAGAUCCAUUGGACACUUUAAACACUCAGUACUUGGGCCAAAGUAGAUCUAGGUUUGCUAACCCCAGUUGUAAUAAAGGUGUAAUACUGCUCCUUUGUUAUCUCCUUGUGGUUCAACCUAAGUAGAUACAUUGUACAUAAAAGGAAAAGACAGUUUGAGUUGGCUGUGCCUUUGUUGGUAGAUGAUAUGGAGUCCAGGGCUUUGGGUCCAGGGUCUUUUACUUAAGCUAUUUCAUGGUGGUUCUCUCAUUCACCUUUUAACUUUUUACAGUAUGAAUCAACCUAAGAAAAAAGGCAAGUUUCCUCACAUCUAGAAAUGAUAAAUGGUGUACAGUCAUAAGCUAGAAUAUGUUUUUAUAAUGCUUUUUUGUUCUUUGAGCAACACUUGUAGAUACAAGUACUCCUUUUUUUUCUUUUUUUGUAAACUAUAACGUAUCCUGUUGGUGUACCAGUGAGUUCAUUUUACUGUGAACUAAGAAUAACAUCCCUUUUUAAUAUUGAAAGCUGACUACCCAUCAAGAAAUGUAGCUAGAUUCUUCAUGUAACACUUUUGAGGGGCAGUGGGGAUAUAAUGGGUUGUGGAAGAUGUGUUUAACAUUUUUAUUUUUAUUUUUUUCAUUCUACCCAAGUUCAUUGUUGUUUGAACCAUCCUUUAACCUUUAAAUGUUGUGCUUUUAGGUUGAUACAAAUGUAAAGCACUGAGGAGGGAGGAAUAAAGCAUACAAGUUAAUUUCUAAUUUUCGCAAGCCUGAACCAUCCUAAUCUGAUGGUAGGAUGUAUGGCUUCUUCCUUUUCACCUUGUGUGAUACCUAAAUUGAGACGAUCUAGCCAUAAAACUAGUUAGUCUUGAAUUCCUCUUGAACUGGAUGGUGGUUAGCCAUUGUGAUAACAGAUUAUCUUUAUAUGGAAAUUGUGCAUAUUGUUAAAUUUUAAAACAUGGAUUUAUCAACUGAUAAUAAAAUAUAUCUUACAAGAUA